CUCAAUUAGCAAUCAAUUAGGAGUGCUAAACACAAUUUGAAAAUUCAAAUGGAGUCAAAAAUAUCAAGCCCACGUGUAGCUUGCUCCCUCUCUCCCGUGUGUGGUCACCAUGGCCAAUUUGGCCACGGCGCCGCUCGCGCACGCCACAACGACGCAUCGCACGAAGCUUCUCCCCUGCUCACGCGAGAGCCGAGCCCCAGCCCUUUUCCCCUGCUGCCCAGAGCGCGCCUCGUCGCCCGUCAUGGCUGCCACCGGCCUUGCACGCCGCGCUCCCACCUCCGGCCUUCCUCCACCCAAGCCGGCCACCGAAAUAGCUUCUCCACCUCCCACUGAUUCUCCACGGCCCAACCCCGCUUGCCCAGCCACGCCGGAACGCCGCCGCAGCGGCACAGUACCACUGCCACCCGCCGCCCGCCGUGGAACCGCCACCACGGACCACCUCCUCGCGCUCCAAGGCCACCUACAGGUACGAUAGAUGAACCACGUGAGGGAUGUGACAUUGAAGCCGAGCCAGAAGACGGUGAAUGGUGGACACCUCUAGAAGAUGGGUGGAUGGAUCCCAAUAUGCAUGACCGAAGGCAGAUGCUCGCCAAGCGAGUAUCAUCUAAUUAACACUAACCUAGUGUUACCCUCAGCCAAGCCCCGGUAUAGAAGCUAACCAGGAUUCGCAUCAGUGGGCUCGAUGUGACGUCCUCACACGUGUUCAUAGUUAUCGUCUUGUUUUAUUGGUUCUCAAUCGAAUUUCUUUCUCUCAGGUUAUAUUCUCUUCCGCUACUGUCAUUUAUUUUAUGUAAAUUCCAAAUUUAAAGCUGUUUUGUAAAUAUUUAUGUUAUUAUCUAUUUUUGUGAAAUUAUAUUAUGCUGGUA